ACCAUCCUUUUGCUUGGGGUUGUGCUGCUGCCCAGUGAAUAUUCAGUGAGGGCAGUAUUGCUAAUGCCUAUACAACACACUUGCAUCAGAGAGUGAAGUACAAUGCAGCUGAAACAGUAGCCGCAAAGACUCUAUUUUUUUAAAAA
rnacentral:snRNA from 1 species